rnacentral:tRNA from 1 species
GUCCCCUUAGCUCAGUUGGUUAGAGCAGGCGACUCAUAAUCGCUUGGUCACUGGUUCAAGUCCGGUAGGGGGCACCA